GAUGAACGCUGGCGGCGUGCCUAAUACAUGCAAGUCGAGCGAACGGACGAGAAGCUUGCUUCUCUGAUGUUAGCGGCGGACGGGUGAGUAACACGUGGAUAACCUACCUAUAAGACUGGGAUAACUUCGGGAAACCGUAGCUAAUACCGGAUAAUAUUUUGAACCGCAUGGUUCAAAAGUGAAAGACGGUCUUGCUGUCACUUAUAGAUGGAUCCGCGCUGCAUUAGCUAGUUGGUAAGGUAACGGCUUACCAAGGCAACGAUGCAUAGCCGACCUGAGAGGGUGAUCGGCCACCUUGGAACUGAGACACGGUCCAGACUCCUACGGGAGGCAGCAGUAUGGAAUCUGCCGCAAUGGGCGAAAGUAUGACGGAGCAACGCCGCGUGAGUGAUGAAGGUCUUCGGAUCGUAAAACUCUGUUAUUAGGGAAGAACAUAUGUGUAAGUAACUGUGCACAUCUUGACGGUACCUAAUCAGAAAGCCACGGCUAACUACGUG
rnacentral:rRNA from 1 species